rnacentral:rRNA from 1 species
AUACGGAGGGUGCAAGCGUUGUCCGGAUUUAUUGGGUUUAAAGGGUGUGUAGGCGGUGUAUUAAGUCAGUGGUGAAAGCCUGCGGCUCGACCGUAGAACUGCCAUUGAUACUGACACACUUGAGUAUGGACGAGGUAGGCGGAAUUUAUGGUGUAGCGGUGAAAUGCAUAGAUACCAUAAAGAACACCGAUAGCGAAGGCAGCUUACUAGGCCAUAACUGACGCUGAGGCACGAAAGCGUGGGGAGCGAACAGGAUUAGAUACCCUAGUAGUCC